GACAGAGGUGCCGAGCGUUAGGCGGAAUCACUGGGCUUAAAGCGUGUGUAGGCGGGCGGGCAAGUACCUUGUGAAAUCCCACGGCUCAACCGUGGAACUGCUGGGUAUACUGCCUGUCUUGAGCCAGCCAGGGGCAGUCGGAACAGACGGUGGAGCGGUGAAAUGCGUAGAUAUCGUAAGGAAGACCAGUGGCGAAGGCGGGUCUCUGGACAGUUCCUGACGCUGAGGCACGAAGGUCAGGGGAGCAAACGGG
rnacentral:rRNA from 1 species